rnacentral:tRNA from 1 species
AGGACUGUAAUUUAUAAAAAAUAUUUAAUUUGCACUUAAAAAAAACUUUCCUAGUCUGUCUUA